rnacentral:misc_RNA from 1 species
GCCGAACAUUGCAGCCAUUGGAUUCAGAAUUGCUGCAGAACCAUUUGAGAAAUGUCGUAGAAGUUUGUUAUCAAGUUCUUCAAGCUUAUCAUCGGCAGUGCUUUCAUUGAUACUGACAGCAAAAGUUAUCAGGCUCUGAACAUCCUCCUCGGAUCCAGCAAUAGGAAAACGACCCAAGUCAUGCCUAAACUUAUCCAAGGCUUGAAAAGCCAAAUGUAAUAGGGGUGGGCGGUCAAACUUAGAGAAAUCACUGAGAAGGAAUUCCCCUGGAUCUCGAAGAGCAUCUCUCAAGGGUCUAAAUUGUAGGACCUUAGGUUGCUUUACCUGUGUAACUAUACCACCUUUGUCAUACUCACCGUAAUGAGUUGUGUCUUCUUCAAUAGUAAAUGAAAACGGUCG